AUGAGGCUCUCUGCUCAGCUCCUGGGGCUACUGAUGCUCUGGGUGCCUGGAUCCAGUGGGGAUAUUGUGAUGAUCCAGACUCCACUAUCCCUGCCCAUCACCCCUGGAGAGCCAGCCUCCAUCUCCUGUAGGUCUAGUCAGAGCCUCCUGAAGAGUAGUGGAUACACCUAUUUGCGUUCAUACCUGCAGAAGCCCGGCCAGUCUACACAGCUCCUAAUCUAUUUGGUUUCCAAUUGCGCCUCUGGAGUCCCUGACAGGUUGAGUGGCAGUGGGUCCGGCACUGAUUUUACACUGAAAAUCAGCAGAGUAGAGUCUGAGGAUAUUGGCGUUUCUUACUGCAUGCAAAACCUACAAAUUCCUUCCACGGUGCUACAUCCUCAAAAAGAAACUUCCCUGCUGGGGUCGUCCAGCUGCUCACAUGCACUGCUUUUCUGAGUAGGAGCUCAUCUG